rnacentral:misc_RNA from 1 species
GCUAACUAAAAGACUAUUUAUCUUUAUCAAGAACAUUGUGCCUCCAACUAGUUCUCGAGAAAAACAAGUACAAAGACUCUUCCUUUAUGGUAAUCAUGCCCACCCCUACACGUACACCGUAUUGCAAUAAAAUUAGUAUUGUAUUGCAAGGACGCUAGAAGAAGACGGUUCUGCUACCAUUUAUGCAUGGAAAAGAGGUAAAGACAGCCAUAUAAUCCUUAAAAGAUUUCCAAUAAAGUACCUUAUUGAGUAGUUUUACCCAAAUCUGAUCCUUCUUCGACCAGGUCGACUAGCAGAGCGGUACGUACCAACUGCAAAUCUCUACGUUAUGACAAAUGCACAAUGCAGCUUAACUGAACACUUAAAAGUACUAAUUUUCCUCUACUUUGAAUCUCCCAAACACACCAAGGGAUACACGAUUGAACAACCAACUUCUGGCAGCUGCCCUAACAACUCGAGAAGGACACGAUAUUCACAAUGAGGACAAGAACUCUUGCAUUGAAAUUCUACAAAUUGUAUUACUCAUUGAAG